GAUGAACGCUGGCGGCGUGCUUAACACAUGCAAGUCGAACGAUGAAGCCCAGCUUGCUGGGUGGAUUAGUGGCGAACGGGUGAGUAACACGUGAGUAACCUGCCCUUGACUCUGGGAUGAGCCUGGGAAACUGGGUCUAAUACUGGAUAUGACUUCUCAUCGCAUGGUGGGGGGUGGAAAGAUUUAUUGGUCUUGGAUGGACUCGCGGCCUAUCAGCUUGUUGGUGAGGUAAUGGCUCACCAAGGCGACGACGGGUAGCCGGCCUGAGAGGGUGACCGGCCACACUGGGACUGAGACACGGCCCAGACUCCUACGGGAGGCAGCAGUGGGGAAUAUUGCACAAUGGGCGCAAGCCUGAUGCAGCGACGCCGCGUGAGGGAUGACGGCCUUCGGGUUGUAAACCUCUUUCAGUAGGGAAGAAGCGAGAGUGACGGUACCUGCAGAAGAAGCGCCGGCUAACUACGUG
rnacentral:rRNA from 1 species